rnacentral:lncRNA from 1 species
AUAUAUUACGUUACACAGAAACUAGUGUUCUCUCUCUUCUAUCCUGUUUCAUGGUAUCAGAGUUCCUGAGAAAUUGAAUUCUUGUUCAGAGGAUUACUUUGUAUAUAUGAAAUGGACAGACCUUGUCUUUGAACAGACCUGAUUGUUCCUCUAUACCAGAUGUAGUAUCUCUCCCCUUACUAGAGAUAUUCUUUAUGGAAACUUUCUCUUCUCUCCCUGCAUUCCCACUGAAAUCCCUGUUUUAGGUGUUUUGCUACUGGUCAGCCCUGUUCAUUGAUGCCUUUUCACUGGUUUAAUGUAACUGAUAAAGUUUCAAAUUGUUUUGCAAUUUUCUUAGACUGGAA